UGCUUGUUGUGAAAAUGAUAACAGGUUAUUUCUGCUCACUGCAAUUUUGUAAAGGGCUGCAGUAUUUUGACUGUAUAAAGGUAGCAUAAUCAUUAGCUUUUUAAUUGGGGGCUGGUAUGAACGGGGAAGCAGGGGAAUAGUGUGUUUAUAAAGAAUGUUGAAUUUUAUGUGUUUGUGAAAAAUCAAAUUGAAUUUUAAGGGACAAGAAGACCCUAUUUUAAGUUUGAUGAAGGAUUGAAGAAAGCAUAAAGGGAUGAGAAUUUUAUUGGUGUGAUUUAUAAUUUUUUGUUUAGCUGGGGCGGUGAAUGAGAUACAUUAUUUAUAUUUUAAUAGAUGUUGAGCGAGAUUUAGACCUAGUUGUGGUUAAUUAAGUGGAUAAUUACUUUAGGGAUAACAGCGUUAUUAUUUUUGAGAGUUCUGAUUGACAAAGUAGUUUGCGACCUCGAUGUUGGAUUA
rnacentral:rRNA from 1 species